UGUUCUUUUAUUUAUUUACCAGUGAAUAUUGUGGAUCUUUCUUUAUCUUUGUCCUUGUUUAACUUUGUAUACUUUACCAUUUAUUCCCUAUUCUACACAAUUUGCAGUUUCACCAAAUUUCACAUCUUAUUUUAUACUCUUUAUUCCAGGUUAUGGAUUUACUAAAUCACCUCUCAUCUGUGUAUAUUUCAACCCCAAUUUUCUGAGUCUUUCUACUACUACUACUACUACUAUUACCAGCGAAAUGGGUAGCAGCGUAUUAAGAUAAGUACCCGUAUUUCUGUUAUCUGCAUACUUUACUGUCUGUCUGACUAACCUUUCUUUGUAUAUAUAUAUAAUAUUUGCUUUGCUAUUUCAGUAUCUACUGUAAUAACCCAUUUCCUAUCCUGAAUUUUAAUGCUUUCUAGGCUAAGGUUAACACCGGAUACUUUCAGGUCUGUUGUUUUUCCUUUUUUACUUUAUUAUAUAUAAUUCCUUCUCUUUUACCCUAUUUCAACUAUAAUCUUUUCGUUCAUUGAUGCAGUUUCACCGGAAUACUUGUGUUAAUUUCUUUGUUCACUUUCCAGUCAUCAAAAGGUCUGCUUGUGAUCUUGCCAAGAUACCAGUGCCGGCUACGCGGGACAUGAUCAUGGUUAAUGUGCUGCUAUUUUUGUUGCUGUUGUUGGAUUUCUCAACAUUGUCUACAGAGUCCUCAGGUUCUGUUCUUUCCACCUUGUGGGAUAUAUAUUCCGUUCCAAGUCUCUUCUCUCUUGUGCCCAUCUUGGACAGUGGAAGAGCGUAUGGACUACCUCAUCUACCGCUUCGUUACAGAACCAGCAACUGCUAUUUUCCUCUUUCUUAAUUUUAUGGAUGCCCUCUACGCAUUUUUUUUCCAGUAAGCAGAAUUGCCUCUGACUUCUGGGGUGCUAGUUUUAGGCCUUCUCCCUGGAACCAGGAGCCCAUCGUACACCAAGUUCCACAUGAACGGUCCAAUCACCGAUCCCUGUGGAACUCCUCCAAACACCUGGAUUCUAUCGGUCCCGUCCG